CGCCGCGUGAGGGACGACGGCCUUCGGGUUGUAAACCUCUUUUAGCAGGAAAGAAGCGAAAGUGACGGUACCUGCAGAAAAAGCGCCGGCUAACUACGUGCCAGCAGCCGCGGUAAUACGUAGGGCGCAAGCGUUAUCCGGAAUUAUUGGGCGUAAAGAGCUCGUAGGCGGUCUGUCGCGUCUGCUGUGAAAACCCGAGGCUCAACCUCGGGCCUGCAGUGGGUACGGGCAGACUAGAGUGCGGUAGGGGAGAUUGGAAUUCCUGGUGUAGCGGUGGAAUGCGCAGAUAUCAGGAGGAACACCGAUGGCGAAGGCAGAUCUCUGGGCCGUAACUGACGCUGAGGAGCGAAAGGGUGGGGAGCAAACAGGCUUAGAUACCCUGGUAGUCCACCCCGUAAACGUUGGGAACUAGUUGUGGGGUCCAUUCCACGGAUUCCGUGACGCAGCUAACGCAUUAAGUUCCCCGCCUGGGGAGUACGGCCGCAAGGCUAAAACUCA
rnacentral:rRNA from 1 species